GGAUCUCUCGCUCGCCUUAUAUAAUUGAAGCAAUGAUUCAUUUCCUUUAUUCCUAGACUAGAUAGAUGUGCUUUUCUACCCAUACACGUAUUCAUUCAUAACAGUAACUUUUUAUUUUAUAGACUAUACUAUACAUAGAGACUAGACUAGAGAGAGAAGAGAAUAGAAGACAGACCAUUCAUUCAUUGAUCCAUUGAUCUGAUGAUGGAGAACCAAGUUGACAUAGAGAAUGAUGGAGGAGGUAUGAUUGAGGAAGAGAAAUUUGAUUUGGAGAGAAAUUUUUCAACAAUUUCUGAAACUGGUAGCAUAAGAGAGCCUUUGCUCAAAUCUAAGAGCAGAGUCAACAAUACCUCCCAAAUCGCUAUUGUUGGAGCCAAUGUUUAUCCCAUUGAAAGCCUCGACUAUGAUAUUGUAGAAAAUGACCUUUUCAAGCAAGACUGGAGAUCUAGGAAAAAGGUUGAGAUAUUUCAAUAUAUAUUUCUUAAAUGGACUCUUGUGCUCUUAAUUGGAUUGAGUACUGGACUUGUUGGUUUCUUUAACAACAUUGGAGUGGAAAAUAUUGCUGGUUUCAAGCUUCUUCUCACUAGCAACUUAAUGCUUGAGGGAAAGUAUUUCCAGGCAUUUGCUGCUUUUGCUGGUUGCAAUGUGUUUUUUGCAACUUGUGCCGCAGCCCUCUGUGCAUUUAUUGCACCUGCAGCUGCAGGCUCUGGUAUACCUGAAGUAAAAGCCUAUCUGAAUGGUAUCGAUGCUCAUUCCAUUUUGGCUCCAAGUACAUUACUUGUCAAGAUCUUUGGAUCCAUUUUGGGCGUUUCUGCUGGAUUUGUUGUUGGCAAGGAAGGACCCAUGGUCCAUACUGGUGCUUGCAUAGCAAACUUACUUGGACAAGGGGGUUCCCGAAAAUAUCAUUUAACUUGGAAAUGGCUAAAAUACUUCAAAAACGACCGUGAUCGUAGGGAUUUAAUCACUUGUGGUGCCGCUGCUGGUGUUGCAGCUGCUUUCCGUGCCCCAGUUGGAGGAGUUCUUUUUGCUCUUGAGGAAAUAGCAUCAUGGUGGCGAAGUGCUUUACUUUGGAGGACUUUCUUCACAACUGCUAUAGUAGCUAUGGUGCUCAGAUCUUGCAUUCAAUUCUGUCGGAGUGGGAACUGUGGACUAUUUGGUCAAGGAGGUUUGAUAAUGUUUGAUGUGAAUUCAGGAUUUCCUAAUUAUAACACUGUAGAUGUACUGGCGGUAUUGACAAUUGGAGUUCUUGGAGGCCUUUUAGGAAGCCUUUAUAAUUAUCUUGUGGACAAGGUCCUGCGGACUUACAGCAUCAUUAAUGAGAGAGGUCCUGCUUUCAAAAUCAUGCUCGUAAUGACCAUUUCGAUCCUGACUUCUCUUUGUGCAUAUGGUCUUCCAUGGUUUGCAAGUUGCACACCGUGCCCCGUAGGCUUGGAGGAAAAAUGUCCUACUGUAGGUCGCUCUGGAAACUAUAAGAAUUUCCAGUGUCCGGCUGGGCAUUACAAUGAUCUGGCCUCCCUGUUUAUGAAUACCAAUGAUGACGCCAUCCGCAAUUUGUUUAGUGCAGAAAAUUCAAGUGAAUUCCACCUUUCUACACUUUUUGUCUUCUUCGCUGGGGUAUACUGCCUUGGCAUUAUUACCUAUGGAAUUGCUAUUCCCUCUGGGCUGUUCAUUCCUGUCAUACUUGCUGGAGCCUCAUAUGGACGUCUUGUUGGAAGUGUCUUAGGUUCGGUCUCUAAUCUUAAUAAUGGCCUGUUUGCGCUCCUUGGGGCUGCCUCCUUCCUUGGUGGUACUAUGAGGAUGACAGUAUCACUCUGUGUCAUACUACUUGAGCUCACCAAUAAUCUGCUAAUGCUUCCGUUGGUGAUGCUUGUUCUCCUUGUAUCAAAAACUGUGGCCGAUAGUCUUAACAAGGGUAUCUAUGACCAGAUUGUGCAAAUGAAAGGCUUGCCUUACUUGGAAGCACACGCCGAGCCUUACAUGAGGCAAUUGGCUGCAGGAGAUGUUUGUUCUGGGCCUUUAGUAACAUUUUCAGGUGUUGAGAAGGUAGGAAACAUAGUACACGCUUUGAAGUUUACUCGACACAAUGGGUUUCCCGUGGUUGAUUUACCACCAUUCUCAGACGCGCCAGAGUUUUGUGGGCUUGUUUUAAGGUCACAUUUAGUUGUUUUGCUCAAAGGAAAGACAUUCACGAAACAAAAUGUACUGAGUGGCUCCAAUACUCUGAAGAAGUUUCAUGCAUUUGAUUUUGCGAAGCCAGGAUCAGGGAAGGGGCUUAAGUUUGAGGAUUUGUCCUUCUCCCCCGAGGAGAUGGAAAUGUAUGUUGAUCUCCAUCCUAUCACAAAUACAUCUCCAUACACAGUAGUGGAAACCAUGUCUCUGGCCAAAGCUGCAAUUCUUUUCCGUGAACUCGGUCUCAGACAUUUGUGUGUCGUCCCAAAGACUACCAAGAGAAAUCCAAUAGUUGGAAUCUUGACAAGGCAUGACUUCAUGCCAGAGCAUAUAAAGGGACUGUAUCCACAUUUGGUCCAUCACAAGUAAUCAGGAGAAAAUAACUACUCUUUCAACAAGCAAACGGCAAUUUAGAGAAGUGUUUAUAUACACACUCCACCAUUGAGCUCUCUGUACAAUCUUUCUUAAUUUUUAUUUUAUUGUUAAAUGAAUUUUGAAGAAAGAUGAUCUUAGCAGCACAUGAAGCAAUUGCAAUUUUUUUUUUUUUGGAUUGCUAAUCAACAAAAAAUGUGUUCAGAUUGUUAGUUUCAUAAAAUACGUGAGAGGAUUAAAUUUU
rnacentral:misc_RNA from 1 species